GGGCCCGCACAAGCGGUGGAGUAUGUGGUUUAAUUCGACGCUACGCGAAGAACCUUACCGGGGCUUGACAUCCUUCGCAAUCUGUUGAAAGACAGAGUUCCCGCAAGGGACGAAGAGACAGGUGGUGCAUGGCUGUCGUCAGCUCGUGUCGUGAGAUGUUGGGUUAAGUCCCGCAACGAGCGCAACCCUUGUUCUUAGUUGCCAGCACGUAGAGGUGGGCACUCUAAGGAGACUGCCGGUGACAAACCGGAGGAAGGUGGGGAUGACGUCAAGUCAUCAUGCCCCUUAUGUUCCGGGCUACACACGUACUACAAUGGUCUGUACAGAGGGUAGCGAAGCCGUGAGGUGGAGCCAAUCCCAGAAAGCAGAUCUCAGUUCGGAUUGCAGGCUGCAACCCGCCUGCAUGAAGUUGGAAUCGCUAGUAAUCGCAGGUCAGCAUACUGCGGUGAAUACGUUCCCGGGCCUU
rnacentral:rRNA from 1 species